rnacentral:rRNA from 3 species
AAGGUUGACCUCGGAUCAGGUAGGGAUACCCGCUGAACUUAAGCAUAUCAAUAAGCGGAGG